rnacentral:piRNA from 2 species
UUCCAGGAGAUCCAGUACUGUUUUUUGGUC